rnacentral:ncRNA from 20 species
UUAGUGCGAUUGGCCUACGUUGAUACUGAGCGCGGCUCUGGGCAUCGUUGAUCUACGGGCUCUUAAUCCGUAGGUCGAGUGUUCGAGUCACUCACGCCCCACCA